rnacentral:tRNA from 1 species
AGGUGCGUAGCUCAGUGGUAGAGCAUUACCGUGACAUGGUAAGGGUCGUCGGUUCAAUCCCGGCCGUACCUA